AUUGAACGCUGGCGGCAUGCUUUACACAUGCAAGUCGAACGGUAACAGGCCGCAAGGUGCUGACGAGUGGCGGACGGGUGAGUAAUGCAUCGGAACGUGCCCAGUCGUGGGGGAUAACUACUCGAAAGAGUAGCUAAUACCGCAUACGAUCUAUGGAUGAAAGCGGGGGACCGUAAGGCCUCGCGCGAUUGGAGCGGCCGAUGUCAGAUUAGGUAGUUGGUGGGGUAAAGGCUCACCAAGCCAACGAUCUGUAGCUGGUCUGAGAGGACGACCAGCCACACUGGGACUGAGACACGGCCCAGACUCCUACGGGAGGCAGCAGUGGGGAAUUUUGGACAAUGGGCGCAAGCCUGAUCCAGCAAUGCCGCGUGCAGGAAGAAGGCCUUCGGGUUGUAAAGUGCUUUUGUACGGAACGAAACGGCUCUGGUUAAUACCCGGGGCUAAUGACGGUACCGGAAGAAUAAGCACCGGCUAACUACGUG
rnacentral:rRNA from 1 species